GGUAAGGGUGGAAAGGUGAGGUAAGAGCUCACCAGCAGUCUGGUAACAGGCUGGCUCGGUAAACCCCAUCCGGAGCAAGACCGAAUAGGGAAGGGUUAAGGGUGGUCCCGCCUACCUUCCGGGUUGUGUCGCUCGAGCGUGCAGGCGACUGUACGCCUAGAAAGAUAAUCGUCACCGCGCAAGUGGAACAGAACUCGGCUUAUUGAUUGCUUGCUUCU
rnacentral:RNase_P_RNA from 2 species